rnacentral:rRNA from 1 species
AUACUGAGGGUGCAAGCGUUAAUCGGAAUUACAGGGCGUAAAGCGCACGUAGGCGGUUUAUUAAGUCAGAUGUGAAAGCCCUGGGCUUAACCUGGGAACUGCAUUUGAGACUGGUAGGCUAGAGUAUGGUAGAGGAUAGUGGAAUUCCGGGUGUAGCGGUGAAAUGCGUAGAUAUCCGGAGGAACAUCAGUGGCGAAGGCGGCUAUCUGGACCAAUACUGACGCUGAGGUGCGAAAGCGUGGGGAGCAAACAGGAUUAGAUACCCCAGUAGUCC